GAUCAACGCUGGCGGCGCACAUAAGACAUGCAAGUUGAACGGACUUAAUCGAAAUAUUUAUAUUUUGAAGCGGUUAGUGGCGGACUGGUGAGUAACGCGUAAGGAACCUGCCUAUUAGAGGGGAAUAACAGUGAGAAAUCAUUGCUAAUACCGCAUAUGCCAUAGAUAUCACAUGAUAACAGUGGGAAAGGAGCAAUCCGCUAAUAGAUGGCCUUGCGUCUGAUUAGAUAGUUGGUGGGGUAACGGCCUACCAAGUCGACGAUCAGUAGCCGGACUGAGAGGUUGAACGGCCACAUGGGGACUGAGAUACGGCCCAGACUCCUACGGGAGGCAGCAGUCGGGAAUAUUGCGCAAUGGAGGAAACUCUGACGCAGUGACGCCGCGUAUAGGAAGAAGGUUUUCGGAUUGUAAACUAUUGUCGUUAGGGAAGAGAAAGGACAGUACCUAAGGAGGAAGCUCCGGCUAACUACGUG
rnacentral:rRNA from 1 species